UUGCACUUUGCGCAUGUAUGUAACUCUCGUGUUCUAUUUUGCAUAUUUUUGGUAUUGAAAUCGAAGUGUAAGUGCGUCGAGUCGAGCCUUGUGUUCCUCCGCCUUGCUGUUGCGAAUUCACUCCAAAAAUCUCCUUAUUCUGUGUAUUACUACUUUUUGUGAUAGAGACACUUUUGUUUGUGGAAUUUAUGAACUUUGGUGUAAUGCCGAGACGUUGUGCUUUCGGUUGUGCGCUCCGUGAGAUUCCAAUGCAUAGUUUCCCAGAUGCUGUCAAAUUCCUGAGCAGUUUAAAACUUGGGUCAGUCUUGUUGGUAGAAACCCUCAAACAUCUGAUCUUGAAUGUUAUAAGAAGAAGAGAAUUUGUGAUAUACACUUUUCUGACAGACACAGAAAUCAUAAUCAAUGGCUAAGCACAUUGGCAGUUCCGAUGCUUUAUCUGCUUGGACAACUACAGAGUCAAGUAAUCUUAGGACAAGCUUCAUCCACACAACAUUUACUGCCUACAAUAAUACAGCAAGACUGUUUAGAGCCAUAUGUGAGCAACUUUAUUUUAGAAAAAGCAUCAACUUCAACAACAUUCCAACCUGUAGCUGCAGAUGCAUCUCAAGGUGCUUGAUGCUGGAACAUAAUUAUAGUUUUAUUAGCAAGCCUAAAAGAACAGCUGGAAAAGAUCUAAUGGCUCCACAGCGCACAAAGAUCAAGCAUCUUCAAGCAGAAAUAUCGCGCUUGCGAAAAAAAGGACAAUCUUUCAAAGCAAGGUUAAAAGGUGGUGCAGAUCGAUCAAACGAAUUUUGUCAGGAAAAUAUGU